AUUGCUGUAGAAGGAUGAGAGUUGUAACAUGGCGAUGGUUGGUACGAAGAUGAGCGGUCACUUACAAAGUCAACUUACACGGUCUCUAGAACGAUUAUUAGAAGAAGCACAUUUAAGUGGCGAGUUAAAGUUAACAGGAAGAAAACUGAAGGAUUUUCCAAACGCAGGAGAGAAGUAUAACCUAAGUGAUACAGUUAUUGCAGAUUUAUCAAAAAACCGAUUUGGUGAACUUCCAGUAGAAGUGACUGAAUUCUACUUCCUAGAAAGGCUUUAUCUGUACCACAACACCAUCAGGUCAAUACCUGACUCUGUAGUGUACCUUCAGUCUCUCAUAUAUUUGGAUCUCAGCCGGAACCAGCUGAGCGUGCUUCCCAGCACUCUCUGCCAGCUACCUCUCGAAGUAUUGCUAGUAGCAAAUAAUAAAUUGGUUGCACUUCCUGAGGAAUUAGGCCGUAUGAAGACAUUGGCUGAAUUAGAUGCUAGCUGUAAUGAAAUCUCACAUCUUCCCCCACAACUUGGUGAACUGUCAGUCCUCAAGUCGCUCAACAUACGCCGCAAUCACCUUGUGGAGCUGCCAAUAGAAAUCGUGUAUCUCAGGCUGGUGAAACUAGACAUCAGUGGCAAUAGAAUCUCGACAUUGCCGGUGGAGCUCCGUACCAUGACCACAUUGGUCGACCUAAAUCUAAGUCAUAAUCCUCUCACAUCCCCACCAUCUUAUUUAUGCACAAGGGGUCGUGUCCAUGUCUUCAAAUAUUUGGAGAUUCAAGCAAUAAAGGAAGACAAGAAAAGAGGUAUACUGAAUGAAGAGCUCAGGAGGGUGCAUAGAAAAGCAGGACACUUGUCAGAUUUUCGGUUUGCAAAUGGCCUAUCUUCAGAGUUACGACAAAAAAGGUACACAGUGGACAGCGGCUACAGCACAAGUGAUGGAAUGGAUAAAAGAUGGUCACAGGAAAUUGGGAAGGUAGGAGAAGAUGAAAAAAUUAGUAGAGUGAAAGGGCAGUGGACCCGGCAGGAAAGUGAACCUAUUCCGGUGAAACAUCCUCCAGACAUACGCGCCAAUGGCAGCUGUAGUGGUGCCUCCACACCCUCUACUAUUAGUCCAGGAGAAAACACCAUUCUUGAAGACGAACUGACUAAAGCAAUUAUUCUCCAGGAGCAUUUGGAAUGGAAGAAUAUGGAAAGAAAAAAUUCUGAUAGAGAAGAUUACGUAAGACUCUCGAAGGCAACAGAUGGUAUGAGACCUAUUCAUGGGAGCCCAAGGUUUCCUUCCAACAAUGUUAACAGAGUUAUCGCAAAUGGACCUGGGUUGUCACCAACAGCGGAACUUGCUAUGAAUGGGAAUGCUUUGGUUCCAAACCAAGAGGAUAAGAGGCCUCUGGAACACAUACAAACAUAUAGAGAGUACAAAGAAGCUUUAAGACAACAACGAGCUCAUGAUAGCGUGUAUAGACCUCGGAUGUCCGGAGAUGGCUCUCAGCAAACCACACCAGUUAACAACGAACUGUCAAAGCAAGAUGGAAGUCCAGGAAGUUCAUACCCACACCAACCACAAGCUUUAAUAAACCACACAAACCAUGAUGCUCUCCAGAACAACACUGAAUAUCCCCUGCAUCAGAACAGGAUAGAGAUACAGGCUAAUUCAAAACAAAUAUUUGAAGAUGGUGUUCAUAAAAGGCCAGUUCAAAAAGUGAUUCCAUCAAGAAAUUGCUCAGCUGUUACUUUCCAAGCUUCACCUCCAUGUCAGAUUUCUCCUUUAGUUAAUGGAAGCAGAAUGGAUUAUGGAGAAAAGAAUGGUGCAAUUACAAGUGGACUUCAUGAUGGAGGUUGUUAUAUUAAACCAAGCUCUCCAAUCAAAACGCCUACUAGCUUAGCCCAUCUUCCUGGUUCUACUGGUAUUCCCAGCCCUAAACUAGUCACUGCUUCUGUGGGUUAUGUACAUUCUCCAGUUCCUGUGCCUGCCAGUGGCAGUCAACAUCGACCAUCAACCUUGGGCCAGCCAGGUACGAGGUCACCAAAAAUAGGAGCAAGCCGGGCAAUGACAUGGAAUAGAGAUAUUCCACCUGAAAAGCUCAGCUUCACCAUGAGAAGAGAGUUCGACAAAGCUCGUGAGGAGGCAGAACUCAUAGAACAGUUAAGAAGUCAUAUUGAGACACGACUGAAAAUGUCAUUGCCAGAUGACAUAGCCCCUGCACUCACAGAUGGGGUGGUCUUAUGCCACUUGGCAAACCACGUACGACCACGAUCUGUUGCCAGCAUUCAUGUUCCUUCUCCAGCAGUGCCCAAACUAACAAUGGCAAGGUGUCGAAGAAAUGUGGACAAUUUUCUAGAAGCUUGUAGGAAGAUUGGAGUUGAAGAGGGCUUAAUAUGUUGUGCAUCUGAUGUCCUUGAAGGCAGAGGUUUGGUUCAGGUAGCCAUUACAGUGGCAGAACUGUUGAAAUUUCACCACCCAAGAUCCCCUGCCCAUAUUAGUAUUCCAUGAGAAACACUAUACGGAAAAUGGCGUAUUCUGGGAUGUGGCACCGUAUAGUCUGGAGCCACCUGCUCGUGCUGAUUCCUCACUCAUGGAAUUUUCUACUCUGAAGUUGGAGGUGAUACGGUCCUUCGAAACAUUGGUUCACACAAGAUCUACACUAUGCCACAUCCUAGAAGACAGCAUUGUUCAUAAUAACCUCUGUGAAAACCUCAGAUCUUACAAAAUUGGGAGGAUUCAAGCCAGACUCAUCCAAACUUUGUCCUGCAGUGGAUUUCAGCCUGACACAAUAUUUUGAAAGCUAAAUAACAGGGUCAUGUUCAAUCCUAAGGAAUGGUUUAGAGCACAAGUGAGUACUGCUAUGUAAAUGCACAGAUUUUGGGUACCAGUUUCUUAUCUACAGCCCAGUUUGAAUUAUUUAAAGGUUCAGAAACAACAAAGAAAAUGUGCCAAAGAGCUGAACUGCAAAAUGAAGGUAACAUGUACAGCUUUUAGUUUUGCAUAUAUCUUUAUUUUGUAAGUAUAAUUCAAGGGUUUAUUGUAUUUUAUGUAACAUUAUUUUAAUUAUUUGUAAAUAGGCACAGUUUGACAAAACGAUACUCUAGGUUAAACGAUACUGUGAGGUAAAUUUGUACUGUCAUGGUUUAUAAUUUAUGAUGGCAAUUUAUUGUAAACGUAAUUUACAUUUUAUAAAUCAAGCUUUUUUCAUGUAAUCACAAUGUCCCAAACUGCAGUCAGUACUAUAUUAUCAGUCUUCCUGGCGGAACUACACCUCAGUAUCUUGUAGGAAACGCUUUUUAUAAAAUGAAACAACUUCCUUUUCUGGAUGUCAUUAGAACAUGCAGAUCUGUAUGUUGCCUUUUCUUUUUAAUUGUCUUAAGGAUCAAUGCAUUUUUCGUCUUGAACAAGGUAUGUACUAUUAAAUAUUCUUGUGCUUUAUAUUUUAAUUUUUGUGACAUAAUGGAAGUCUGAUUAAUGUGGUGUACUCUUACUUGAUUCAUUCAAGUACAAACUUUCAGGAUGAAUAUCUGCAUGUUGCAAGUGCACAGUACUGAUUUCCACAAGUCUUGAACAGGCAGAGCGAACUAUUAUUUUGGAAGGUCUAUUAUGCAAGUAAACUGUGAUAACCUUUGCUUCUGGAAUACACAUGCCCAAACUCUUGGUCACUGUAAUGUCUCUCUAUCUUGACUUGUUGCACACAACUGCCUUUUACAUGUGUACAACUUAUCAGUGAAUUCUUUUGUAUAUUUUUAAUUUAAAUCAAAGUCUUUGUUUGAUGCAGUAUUAGGUUGCUGAUUGAACUCAGGGAAAUUAUCUGAAUGGUGUUUAAGAACUUUGUCAGCAAAGAUUCAGUGAGUUAGUUGAGGUUCUAAAACACUUUAAUUGAUGAAUUCUUAUAUAAAGAUUUCUUAUGUCUGCAGUUAGGUAACUAGAUAUGUACCCUUGAUUUAUCUUUGGAAGAACUAUUUUUAGGAUGAGGAAUAAAGAGUUUCUGGCCUCUUCCAUCCCUUAGUUGUAUAUGAGAGAAGAAAGAAGAAAUUACAAAAGAAUAAUUGUACCUAUACAUAAAGGCCUUUCAAAUGACCAAACUCCUUUUAAGAAUUGUAGAACAACGAUAUUUGUAAUGUGUUGUUGAAGAAAUAUAUUUGUACACAUGGACAACUUUCCAUGAAUGUAUGCAGUAAUACAGGUCUUGAUUUAUUUGAAAUAGAUAUUUGGUUCUCUUGACUGCAUUUAACCCUUCAGGUAUAUUGAGCACCACUGUGAUGCCUUGUCACAGCAAUUGAAUUGUAUUGAAUGUUGUGUCUUUCAGUAGGAAUAGUGAUAAGAUGCAGUGGACGCCCAAAUAGCCCAUUUUCAGCUAUGAUUGAGGGGUUAAUAAUGUAAAACUGUAAGAUUACAUCUUUUGCUUUUUAAACUUUUAACUUCUGUAGUAGAAAUGCAUUGGAAAGUAUUAAUUUAUGGCAUAUAUUAUAAUACUUUAAUUUUGAGAAGUGUUGAAUCUUGAAGUACAUGUUUCUGAUAUGUGCAUGAAGAAUGUUUCUUUACUUGGUGCAUAGUUCUCUUCAUUCCUGUGAACUUUAUCUCAUCCUCCAAUAACAAAAUUUGAUUAUUUGUCCAUGUCGUUUGUUGAGUGGUCAUGGUGCUGGAUGUCAUACUCAAAAGCAAGACUAGUUUAACGACAAAGUGCCAAAAGAUUGUGGUUCGAGUCCUAUAUGUUAGAUUCUAGGGGUCUUGGAAAAGAUAAAAUAGGCCUGCAGGCCUAUGUUUUCUAGUUUCAGAUACUUAAUUUUGUAACAGCCAACCUCUUGAGCCAUAAAUAUCUUUUAUUGUAUACAUAUCGUAGAAUCCAGAAUUAAAUGAAGAUAUUCAUACUUCUUACAUUUGUGCUGCUGCCUUUGUGGUCUAGUGGUCAGGGUUCCUGGCUACAGAUCCAGAGGUCCGGGUUCGAUUCCUGACACUAC